UGGACAUGGAGGCGAUGGUUCACCUGCUGCUCGGUCUGUGGCUUUCUGUCAGAUUCAAAGUAAUAGAAGAGUCGGAGAAAGCUGAGAGCGGCGAGUCGAAACACUCAGGAGACACACAGGAGAGUUUGGGAGGCGAUGCAGCAGCAUCAAGCUGAAGACAAGAGGAUAUGAACUAUGAUAUGAGGGUCCCUCUCUAUCUCCCCACACAUCCACCAACCACUGGAACACAUCUCCAAAGUUCUGCCGGGCCAGCUCAGCUUCCCCUCAGAAGAAGUGCCACCAGAUGAAGGAGCCUUUUGAGAGGCAGCUGGCAUCGUGAUUGGACUGUACUUUGGUCUGUUCCAAUCCAGCUUCAGCUCCAGAGACGGCAGGCGGGACGAGUCAACGGAGGCCGGGUGGACGAAGGCAUGCAGCUGAGUACAAUCCAGAAAACAACAGAGGAGGAGUGCAGCCCAGGCCAGAACAAACAGAGUAGCAUCGUAUGUCUCUUAGAAAACAUCAUAGUAUAGCCUUUGGUAUGAAAAAACGCCAUCAUAUACAUCGUAUAUUGUACAAAUAACAAGUCAAAGGAAAGAGACAUACAUUGUAGAAUUGUAGUAAUUGUGGGCUGACUGAUUUACUGAUUAUCAGUAUUUUAUUUUUUACUGAUUUACGGUAAUAAAUACAUUUAAAAAUGG